rnacentral:misc_RNA from 1 species
UUUCCGUAGGUGAACCUGCGGAAGGAUCAUUAAUGAGUUGUCAUGGGGUUCGAUGCUGGCAGCCAGUUUUUGGAUGCAUGUGCUUGCCCUAACAAUCAUCUUCUUCCAAACACCUGUGCACAUUUUUGAGGGAGUCUUGAGUUGGUUGCCGCUCUUGGGUGAUUUUCUCACAUUCCCUUAAAUCAUUAUACGCUAUCAACAAUGUUGAACGUGCUCUGUGCCGCAAGGCCAUUAAUAUAAUACAACUUUUAACAACGGAUCUCUUGGCUCUC